GACAGAGGAGCCAAGCGUUGUCCGGAUUGACUGGGCGUAAAGGGCGCGUAGGCGGCGUGCACAGUCGGAUGUGAAAUUCCUGGGCUUAACCUGGGGGCUGCAUUCGAUACGUGCAUGCUUGAGUGCGGAAGAGGGUCGUGGAAUUCCCAGUGUAGAGGUGAAAUUCGUAGAUAUUGGGAAGAACACCGGUGGCGAAGGCGGCGACCCGUCGGUCGACUGACGCUGGAGGCGCGAAAGACGUGGGGAGCAAACAGG
rnacentral:rRNA from 1 species